CAGCUUCCCAGUCAUGCCACGGAAUCUCACCUCCAGAAGCCUCCAGCACAGGGGUGGUCCCCUGGCACCCAGGACGUCUACUGCCCUUCCUGACCCCCAUGGGGCCACCCUCUCGGGUCUCGCACCCACCACCACCACCACCCAGAGCCACAACAACUGACCCAGGAGAACACUCUCCCGCAGCAUACUGGAGCCUCCACAGCCCUCAUGUGCAACUUGCUGUGCUCAGCUUACUCCUCUUGGGGACUGAGGGCACUUCUCUGCCUGGGGACGCCACCUGCCACGGAGGCCAGGGAAUGACACCCACGAGAUGUUCUACUCCGGGAGUUGGUGAUGGACAGGGAGGCCUGGCAUGCUGCAAUUCAUGGGGUCACAAAGAGUCAGACACGACUGAGUGACUGAACUGAACUGAAAGAGACUCAAGAAUCAGGACUAAAGCACUGGAGUGGCGAGCACCCAAGAGGAGAUACCCUACAUCCAAGGUCAGUAACAGUGGCCAGGUGGAGAUACCCCACGUACAACAUCAGAAGCAGUGGCUGUGCUUUACUGGAGCAGCCGUGAAGAGAUACCCCACGUCCAAGGUAAGAGAAAGUAGCCAAGGGCAUGAAAAGGAUGGUGACUUAAUCUCAGGAUCAAGGUAAGUUCAGUCCUCAAUCCUGUCUUAUUCUGUGACCCCAUGGACUGCAGCAUGCCAGCCUUCCCUGUCCACCACCAACUCCUGGAGCGUGCUCAAACUCAUGGUCAUAGAGUUGGUGAUGGCCAUCCAACCAUCUCAUCCUCUGUCAUACCCUUCUCCUCCUGCCUUCAAUCUUUCCCAGCAUCAGGGUCUUUUCCAAUGAGUCC
ensembl:lncRNA